AAUGAAAAGUAGAGACAAAUAAUAAAAGAGGAAAGGCAAAAAGGGGAAACAUAUUUUUAGAGGAAAGAGGAAUAUCAGUGUCUUGUGGAAGACAAAUAGAAAGUGUCACAGUGAGACAGAAAACACUUGCUGUAGCAUUAGAGUUAGACCCCAGGGGGCACGUGCUGGGGUGGGUGUGGGGAGGCUCUGUACUUUAAAGCAGUGUCAUCAUUCUGUGCAAUAUGGAUCUCUGAGGAGGUCUAGUAGGCACAGCAUGUGGUAGGAAACCUGUUAACGUCUCCAAGAAAAACAGAAUAGGAAAGUGGUCUUUAGGCUAGAAGAGGUGGACCAAACACAGUAAAGAAAACAGCUCAAGACGGGGCUGAGGGCCCCACAGGAUCGUGGGCUGAGCCUUAUGCUGUGCUGAGGUGCAGGAUCCGAGAAAUAAAGAGACAGAACACAGAAGUACAAGAAAAAUGCAGCUGGGCUCGGGGGGCCACGCCACCUAUAAGCGGAGUCAGAUUCUGGAAGCCAGGUUAUCACAGGACCUUUCCAAUCUGGCUGAGCUGACCCCAGAAAGUGACUGGUGAAGCCAUACAUGUGUUUUAGUCUUUUAAGACUGCUUGAGCCACUGGCAGCAUCUCAUAGCUCAAAAUACUUAGAUUUUACAAGGUAACAAAGAAAAUAAGAUUCUUAAAUUUUACACACUAAAUGUAUACCAAAUAUUAGAGAGCCUAUAUGCUGCUUUCUCUCAGUGAUGCUUCCAUAUCACAUUUUCAGACUGAUUUAUCUCCUUGCUGGAUCCACUAGAGCUAUUCCUUUUGUUCUUUUGACUUAAAAUGUACUUACC